AAUGAACGCUGGCGGCGUGCCUAGUACAUGCAAGUCGAGCGAACGGACGAGAAGCUUGCUUCUCUGAUGUUAGCGGCGGACGGGUGAGUAACACGUGGAUAACCUACCUAUAAGACUGGGAUAACUUCGGGAAACCGGAGCUAAUACCGGAUAAUAUUUUGAACCGCAUGGUUCAAAAGUGAAAGACGGUCUUGCUGUCACUUAUAGAUGGAUCCGCGCUGCAUUAGCUAGUUGGUAAGGUAACGGCUUACCAAGGCAACGAUGCAUAGCCGACCUGAGAGGGUGAUCGGCCACACUGGAACUGAGACACGGUCCAGACUCCUACGGGAGGCAGCAGUAGGGAAUCUUCCGCAAUGGGCGAAAGCCUGACGGAGCAACGCCGCGUGAGUGAUGAAGGUCUUCGGAUCGUAAAACUCUGUUAUUAGGGAAGAACAUAUGUGUAAGUAACUGUGCACAUCUUGACGGUACCUAAUCAGAAAGCCACGGCUAACUACGUG
rnacentral:rRNA from 1 species